rnacentral:lncRNA from 1 species
UUCCUUCCUGCCCGUGGCCUGCUUCAGAAAGGAGGAUUCCCCAGACCAACACCCCAGCAUCUCCUCCCCCUACCCGCUCUGGCCCAUGCCUUCCCAUCGGAGUCCCUGUCACCUUUUCCCUUUCUUCCCCAGAUCCGCGGCAGAACCAUGCAGUGGUUGAGGGUGUGGCUGCUGGCAUCAGACUGCCUGGCCGUGACUCCAGCCACCACCUGCCAGCUGGGCAGUCUGGCCUGAGACUUUCCAAAGGAGGAUAAUGAUCAAUUCUGAUUCCAAGCCGUGUGUCAGGAAGAUCAGCCCUGAGCCAACAUCUGCUGCCAAUCCUCCUCUUUUUGCUGAGGAAGACUGGCCCUGAGCUAACAUCAAUGCCUAUCUUCCUCCACUUUAUAUGUGGGACGCCUGCCCCAGCAUGGCUUGCCAAGCGGUGCCAUGUCCGCACCCGGGAUCCGAACCGGCGAACCCCAGACUGCUGAAGUGGAACAUGUGCACCUAACUGCUUCGCCACCGGGCCAGCCCUGUAUCUUUUGAAUUUCAAUCAACAUGUGAAUGUAUUACUUCUUCAAAAAUAAAUUAAUG